UGUUAGCAAUUGCCCGUUGCUCGGCUUGUAGCUGUGUGGGACCGUGAGUCCCGGUGUAUUUUCCCCGGUAUAAGUAUUUUAUUCUGUUUUUAGUAUGUGAUAGUUUGAAACUCAGGAUCAUUGUGGAUUUGCUUUGCCAAGAAUGUGGGUGCUUGAUGUUCGGGACCACCGUACAGUUGGUUGGCUGGUUUCGUUUCGUUAAGGUAUGUUUAAUUUUCAUUUAGUUUGUUUAUUUGAGUGUGACUGGUAAUAAUUAAAUGGCCUAUUUCGUUAUAGGUUGUUGGAUGAUAGUGACUAGUCGCUGUUCUCUUUUGGGUUUUCUUUUUUGUAAAACUGACUGCUCCCUGUUGUGAAUGUAUGUUAAUUCCCUAGCCAGCUGGUGUUUUGUUUCUUUUUGAAUUAUUAGGUUUGUGUAAUUUGGUUUAAUGGUUGGCUAGAGGAUUUUGUCUUUCUUUUUUUUUCUUUUUUAGGGAUUGAUAGAGCCCCAACAGGUUUUGUGUGCUUAGUUGUGUGAUGUAUUGAUUUUGAGGGUGCAUUAUUAAUGAUUUGUGGUGGGUUUAUGGGGUGGAGAUUGCUGUGCUCAUACAGUUUGCAGUGAAACUACUCUUCCCUGUAGGAAGCUCAAUUAUCUUUUGUCUGCUGAGUAUACCAUCUGAAGGAGGCUGCUCUGGUGGGCUGUUUCCGGUCAGGGUGAAUGACCCGAAUUAUUUUAAUGCUUUGAUAAAUAAAGUUUAAUGUGCUUUCUAUUAUCCUAUGCUUACUGUGGUGGAUUUUCUUUGUAUGCACCUAAGUUCCCUGGCGUUCGGGGUGAUUAUAUAUAAAAUAAUAUACAGGGUUUCCUGCAGCACUUUGUAGUUCGGGUGAAAUGAGAGAAAGACGUGGUCCGUCACUGUCCGGAGGAUAACUAGCCAGUUGAUAAAAUGCGUGUCUGUGAGAACUAUGCUGCUGCUUCUUCUCAGAAGUGUGUUUACAUCCCCCCGCAAGCACACAUGAGCUCGGCCUUACAGACACUCCCUGAUAUGAUCACAGAGAGUGAGCAACACCCGGACUCUGUAUUAAUAAUUCUCGGGGAUUUUUAAUAAAGUGAUUCUCUCACGUGAACUGCCAAAAUACAGACAGCAUGUUACAUGUCAAAUCAUUUUACGUAAUGACGUCAUUCACAAUGACGUAAUGACGCAAAUUCCAUCAUCCC